rnacentral:rRNA from 1 species
GCACUUUGGAAAGAGAGUUAAACAGUACGUGAAAUUGUUGAAAGGGAAACGAUUGAAGUCAGUCGUGUUCUUUGGAUUCAGCUAGUUCUUCUAGUCUACUUCCAUUGAACGGGUCAACAUCAGUUUUGUCCGGUGGAUAAAGAUAGUAGGAAUGUAGCUCCCCCGGGAGUGUUAUAGACUAUUAUUGCAUACACUGGGUGAGACUGAGGACUUGCAGUCCCUGUGCGCC